UUUUUACUCCCUCCGUUCGGAAUUACUUGUCUCGGAAAUGGAUGUAUCUAGAACUAAAAUACGUCUAGAUACAUCCAUUUUCGCGACAAGUAAUUCGGAACAGAGGGAGUACUUC
rnacentral:pre_miRNA from 1 species